rnacentral:rRNA from 1 species
AUGGAGGCCACUGCCCUGAGCGUUGGCAAGUCCGUGCUGAAUGGAGCGAUUAGAUACGCCACAUCCGCCCUGGCGGAGGAGGUGGCUCUGCAGCUCGGAGUCCGGCGUGACCAGGUAUUCAUAACCAAUGAGCUCGAGAUGAUGCAGGCUUUCCUUGCGUCCACUCAUGACGAGGGAGAUGGCAACAGGGUGGUCAAGGUCUGGGUGAAGCAAGUCCGCGACGUGGCCUAUGACGUCGAGGACACACUCCAGGAGUUUGCCGUGCGCCUCGAGAAGCAGUCUUGGUGGCGUAUCCGUCGCAACCUACUCGACCGUCGCUGUGUGGCAAAGCAGAUGAAGGAGCUCAGAGCCAAUGUAGAGGAUGUCAGCCAGAGGAACAUGCGCUACAACCCCAUCAAGGGCUCUGGAUCCAAGGCCGCCAUGGCUCUAGAGCAGUCUAGCAUUUCUUCUACAGCACUGUUUGGCAUCGAUGAAGCAAGGCAUGCGGUGAAGCAGGAGAUAUCAAAGGUAGAUCUUUUUCAGCUGAUCAACGGGAAGGAGAAUGACCUUAGGGUAAUUGCAGUGUGGGGAACAAGUGCUGAUCUCGGGCAAACUUCCAUCAUCAGGACGAUGUAUGAGGAUCCAGAUAUUAAAAGCAAGUUCUCGUGCCGAGCUUGGGUCAGAGUGAUUCAUCCGUUUAAUCCAAAAGACUUUGUUCAGAGUUUGGUGCAGCAAUUUCAUGCAGCCGUAGGGGUUGAUGCUCUGUUGAAAAUGGAGAAGACGUUGCAAGAGUUGGCUGAAGAGUUUAAUGGACAUGUGAACAGUAAAAGAUACCUGAUUGUUCUUAACGACCUGUCCACUGUUGAGGAGUGGGAUCUGAUUAAAAGGUGCUUCCCAGACAAGACUAUGGGGAGCAGGAUCAUAGUGUCUACAGGUCAAGUUGAAGUUGCAAGAUUAUGUGCAGGGCGAGAAAGCAUAGUAUCAGUACUUAGGUGCAUGUCUGCUGAUCAGAGUAUUUAUGCUUUCCACAAGAAGGUCUCUCAAGAUAGAACAGGUUUAGAGUCAAGCUCAGACCGUGUCACUACCACUAAAGAUAAAAACUCUAUAGUGCCCACUGCUGAAAUAUUAGAGGAAAAUAUCAUAAAAAAGAGCUUCACUCGCACCAGGACGAUGAUGACUGCUUUGGAGGAAUCUCAUCUUGUUGGGCGAGAGAAAGAAAAAGAUGAGAUUAUCAAGCUUAUUUCAGAUCAAGCUACCCAAAAAUACCAGGUGAUCUCUGUGUGGGGAAUGGGUGGUCUAGGAAAGACCACUCUAGUCAAAGAUAUCUACGAAAACCAAGAGCUGAGUAGCACAUUUGAGAAGCGUGCUUGUGUCACAGUUAUGCGUCCUUUUAAUCUUGAAGGUCUUCUUAGGAGUUUAAUUAUGCAACUUGACACAGAAUCUUCAGAUAAGAAAGACGUGGUUGGUUUGAUGGGCAAGACAAGGAACACAUUACUACUGAUGCCACCAAUAGCACUUAUUAAGGAGAUGGAAAGGCUUAUAGAAGGAAAGAGGUGCUUGAUUGUUCUUGAUGAUGUAUUGUCUACUGCAGAAUGGAACAUGAUAGUACCGAAUUUCCUUGGAAUGGAACAUACAAGCCGGAUCAUUGUCACCACCAGGGAAGAAAAUAUAGCUAAAGUUUGUUCACAGAGACAAGAAGAAAAUAUAUACAUGCUCAAAGAUCUAGAUCACACGGAUGCACGUGACCUCUUCAGUAAAAAGGUAUUCAAGAAGACUACUGAUUUGAAUUUGCAAUAUCCAGAGCUAGUUGAACAGACAGAACAGAUUCUGAGAAAGUGUGGUCGGCUCCCCCUUGCAAUAGUCACAAUAGGUGGCUUCUUGUCCAACCAACCAAAAACCUCUUUGGAACGGAGGAAAUUGAAUGAUAAUAUCAAUUCUGAGUUGGAGAUGAAUCCAGAGCUUGGGACCAUAAGAAAUGUCCUUAUGAGAAGCUAUGAUGGUUUGCCUUAUCAUCUCAAGUCAUGUUUCCUAUAUAUGCCCAUCUUUCCUGAAGAUUACAAGGUUGGACGGGGACGAUUGGCACGUCGGUGGAGUGCAGAGGGUUACUCAAGGGACGUGCAUGGCAAGUGUGCGAUGGAAAUAGCGGACGGCUACUUCAUGGAACUUAUAAGCAGGAGUAUGAUCCUACCAUCUCAACAAUCAAUCGUCGGUACAAAUGGAAUUGGUUCCUGCCAAGUUCAUGAUCUUAUCCGUGAAAUUGGUGUCUCCAAGUCGAUGGAAGAAAAUCUUGUUUUUACACUGGAGGAAGGUUGCAGCUCGAACAGCCAGACCACGUUGCGCCACCUGGCUAUAAGCAGCAACUGGAAGGGAGAUAAGAAUGAGUUUCAGAGCAUAGUGGACAUGUCCCGUCUAUGGUCAAUUACAUGUUUUUGA